rfam:Pandoraea pnomenusa strain RB-44, complete genome.
UGUCUCCUCCACCCUCCUCCUUUGGUGGAUUUAACCCGGACCCAUUGAGGUUCGGGUUUUUUUUU